rnacentral:rRNA from 1 species
UACGGAGGGGGCUAGCGUUGUUCGGAUUUAUUGGGCGUAAAGAGCUCGUAGGCGGUUUGGUAAGUCUGGUGUGAAAUCUCCACGCUCAACGUGGAGGGGCCACCCGAUACUGCCAUGACUGGAGUCCGGUAGAGGAGUGUGGAAUUCCCGGUGUAGUGGUGGAAUGCGUAGAUAUCGGGAGGAACACCAGUGGCGAAGGCGGUUACCUGGAGCUUUGCUGACGCUGAUGCGCGAAAGCGUGGGGAGCGAUCCGG